rnacentral:rRNA from 1 species
AUAGAAUUUUAUAUUAACUUUACCUAGCGGUUAAUGCUGGUUUUUUGUUAAUAUUUGGUUGGGAGGAUUAUUAAAUUUAACAAACUUUAUAUCAUUAUAAACUUUGAUUUAAGAAAAUAUAAUGACCUUCAAUUUGAAAUAGUUAGAGUAAAUUACCUUAGGGAUAACAGCGUAAUAUUUUUUUAUAGACCUUAUAGAAAAAAAUGGUUGCGACCUCGAUGUUGAAUUAAGAUAAAUUUUAAAUGCAGGAGUUUAAUAAUUAAGUCUGUU